rnacentral:tRNA from 1 species
CCCCCAGUAGCUCAGCGGAAGAGCAUCGAUCUUCUAAGUCGCCGGUCGCACGUUCGAAUCGUGCCUGGGGGACGA